rnacentral:tRNA from 1 species
UACUCUUUGGUGUAAUUGGUAACACACCACACUUUGAAUGUGGCAAUUUAAGUUCGAGCCUUGAAAGAGUAA